GAGGAAUAUUGGUCAAUGGGCGAAAGCCUGAACCAGCCAUGUCGCGUGAAGGAUGAAGGUCCUAUGGAUUGUAAACUUCUUUUGCAGGAGGGUAAAGUGAGCUACGUGUAGUUCAUUGCAAGUACCCUGCGAAUAAGCAUCGGCUAACUCCGUGCCAGCAGCCGCGGUAAUACGGAGGAUGCGAGCGUUAUCCGGAUUUAUUGGGUUUAAAGGGUGCGUAGGCGGACUAAUUAGUCAGCGGUGAAAUUUUGCGGCUCAACCGUAAAACUGCCGUUGAAACUGUUAGUCUUGAGUGCGGUAGAGGUAGGCGGAAUGUGUGGUGUAGCGGUGAAAUGCUUAGAUAUCACACAGAACACCGAUUGCGUAGGCAGCUUACUGGAGCGCAACUGACGCUGAGGCACGAAAGCGUGGGGAUCGAACA
rnacentral:rRNA from 1 species